UGUGUCAAAAAUUGCUUAGGCAUUCCAAUAGCUUACUUCUAUUUUGAUCCAUAUUCUCGUCCAUUGGAAAAACGUAGGGGGGCAUGGAUGGACAUCGUUGCUGGUCGGAGCCGUAUUUUGUGUGAUGGUACAUCUUCCAGGUUGCCUAUUUGCCAUGUUGUGUGCAAUCAAACUCCACCAGUGGGAGACAAGCCAAGCCUUAUGACCAUUCAUGAGGCACAUUUGCAGUUUUGCCUUUGUGUAAUGGAACAACUUGCACAAGCCAAUCUUCAAACACACACUUCAAAAUAACAAACCUAACCUAGUUACUCUUACAACCAAGCCCAAAAUGCUACACAUUGAGUAAACUCCGUGCAGCAAGAAGAGCCACUCGAAGUCAAUUUCCUCCCUUUUGUCAAAGUUGAUUUCAUCUGUUUUUCGCAGCAACAAGG